rnacentral:rRNA from 1 species
GACGUAGGGCGCGAGCGUGUCCGGAUUUAUUGGGCGUAAAGAGCUCGUAGGCGGUUCGUCGCGUCGGCUGUGAAAACCUGAGGCUCAACCUCAGGCCUGCAGUCGAUACGGGCGGACUUGAGUACUGCAGGGGAGACUGGAAUUCCUGGUGUAGCGGUGAAAUGCGCAGAUAUCAGGAGGAACACCGGUGGCGAAGGCGGGUCUCUGGGCAGUAACUGACGCUGGAGGAGCGAAAGCGUGGGGAGCGAACAGG